UGUACGUCUUCGACUGAGAAAUGAGUGGAUAAUUCGGAUAUAGUUCCUGAAACACUGGAUAUCAAAGACCGCCUUGCUACUGUUGUUAGAUAUUAUUUCGCUGGUGAGCGCAAUAAAAUGUGAAACCUGUACCUAUGGAGUGUUGGCAAACAUUAUGUGUUGUCUUCUGCUUGAAAAAUGCUGUGAUAAAGUGAGCAUAUCAGAACAGGACUUUCCAACGGGCAAAUCGUGCAUUCUGUGCUGUGAAAAUUCUACGUAAUUCCGCUUCAUGUUCCAAUACCUGUUUAGGUUAUAAAACGUUUUUUUUUCUACAGUAUUCACCUAUGUGUCUUGUGGGAAAUUCUUUUUGAUGUUUAAAUAUAUGAAGAUAUGGUUAAAAUCUCCCAAGACUGAUUGGAGUGAUCCAGAGAUGCAAAGUAUUUAAGAGUUUGUUGUUUUUACAGGAAAUUU